UACGUAGGGUGCGAGCGUUAAUCGGAAUUACUGGGCGUAAAGCGUGCGCAGGCGGUUCGUUAAGUUCGUUGUGAAAGCCCCGGGCUCAACCUGGGAACUGCAAUGGAAACUGGCGGGCUUGAAUGCGGCAGAGGGGGGUGGAAUUCCGCGUGUAGCAGUGAAAUGCGUAGAGAUGUGGAGGAACACCGAUGGCGAAGGCAGCCCCCUGGGUCAACACUGACGCUCAUGCACGAAAGCGUGGGGAGCAAACAGG
rnacentral:rRNA from 1 species